rnacentral:rRNA from 1 species
GGCCUUGACAUACUAAGAACUUUCCAGAGAUGGAUUGGUGCCUUCGGGAACUUAGAUACAGGUGCUGCAUGGCUGUCGUCAGCUCGUGCCGUGAGAUGUUGGGUUAAGUCCGCAACGAGCGCAACCCUUUUCCUUAUUUGCCAGCGGGUAAUGUCGGGAACUUUAAGGAUACUGCCAGUGACAAACUGGAGGAAGGCGGGGACGACGUCAAGUCAUCAUGGCCCUUACGGCCAGGGCUACACACGUGCUACAAUGGUCGGUACAAAGGGUUGCUACCUCGCGAGAGGAUGCUAAUCUCAAAAAGCCGAUCGUAGUCCGGAUCGCAGUCUGCAACUCGACUGCGUGAAGUCGGAAUCGCUAGUAAUCGCGGAUCAGAAUGCCGCGGUGAAUACGUUCCCGGGCCUUGUACACACCGCCCGUCACACCAUGGGAGUUUGUUGCACCAGAAGUAGGUAGUCUAACCGCAAGGAGGACGCUUACCACGGUGUGGCCGAUGACUGGGGUGAAGUCGUAACAAGGUAGGCGUAGAUGA